rnacentral:lncRNA from 1 species
GUCCUGAGUUGAAUGGUGAUAGUCCCAUGUCUCUACGACUUCCGGUUCUUAAGUUUUGUAUUGCAUCAUAUAUUUGAUGAUUAAUUGUGACCUUGGUGAACUUUGAAAUUGUCCCAAUUCUUUUUCUAUAAUGUUGUCCUUCAAUUGUAGAUCAUUUACCAUUUAACAGAUUUGAAAUAUCUAUUGUCGUUUUAGAGAUAAUGCAGUUUGAAAUUUUGCGAGCGGCGGCAUGUAUUUCUGAAUCAACAGCAGCUUACCACUUAAAAUGUUUAAGAAAUUAAAGAGGUUAACAUAGUUAUAUGUUUGAACAAAUACCAAAAACAUUCCAUUGAAAAAAACACCAAAAAAAUCAAUUUGUAAUUUUCAUGUUUUGCAUUGACUUUGUAAGUUUCAUAACUUCUAUUUAUAUCGUAAAUAUUGCAUCAUUUUUGGCACUUUGUCAAAUUGGGUCAUCUGAUAUAUCAAAUUGAAGGUCUCAAUAAACUCUACUUAAAAAUGAAAAUUUUAAACCUCUUUUUCAUCCCAGGUGGAAGGGUGGGGUCAUUUAGUGCAAAAAUUCAGAUUUCUCAGAUGGUAAGGUUGUCGCAUAUCAAAUGAAAGAACAUAAAGCGUACAUUUCAAAUUUCAAAUUGACGUCCCAAAAAUUGGUUGGAUGGGGUCAUUGAGUGCAAAAAACAAAUUUCUUUUACGAUAGGGUUGUUGUAUAUCAAAUGAAAGGUCAUGAUGUGUACAUUUGAAAUAUCAAAUUCCUGACCUCCAAAAAUUAGUAAGAUAGGGUUAUGAAGUGCAAAACUAAAACUUUCUAGAACAUGGCGUUGUCGCAUAUCAAAUGAAAGCUCAUCUACUCUGUUCCAUAUAUCAUAAUUCCGAUCUCAAAAAUGAAGGCGGAUGAGGUCAUUAAGUGAUAAGAAGUGAAAAGUUUCAGAAGGUAUGCUUGUCGUAUAUUUUUAAGGUCUUUCCUCUCCGCGAGGAAAGACCUUAUUGUUUUUCUCCUGUUUUUUUUUUUUUUUUUUUUUUUUUUUUUUUUUUUUUUUUUUUUUCAUCCAGCAUUUCUUUGACAUGGCUCCCCUCUUUCUAUUGGAGUUAUCAAGACCAAAUAUGGACCAUCGGUAGAACUCAUCAUGAUGUAUUACCAGAUGAGGCUGUGUAGGAUUUCAUCAUCCCCUUUAGAAGUUAUCUCCCUUUUAUUGGGUUUUUUCGACAUGGCCCCCCCUCGUUGUUUUUAAAGAUAUCAUGACCUUAUUUGGACAA